rnacentral:rRNA from 1 species
GAUGAACGCUGGCGGCGUGCCUAAUACAUGCAAGUCGAGCGAACAGACGAGGAGCUUGCUCCUCUGACGUUAGCGGCGGACGGGUGAGUAACACGUGGAUAACCUACCUAAGACUGGGAUAACUUCGGGAAACCGGAGCUAAUACCGGAUAACAUGUUGAACCGCAUGGUUCAACAGUGAAAGACGGUCUUGCUGUCACUUAUAGAUGGAUCCGCGCCGCAUUAGCUAGUUGGUAAGGUAACGGCUUACCAAGGCAACGAUGCGUAGCCGACCUGAGAGGGUGAUCGGCCACACUGGAACUGAGACACGGUCCAGACUCCUACGGGAGGCAGCAGUAGGGAAUCUUCCGCAAUGGGCGAAAGCCUGACGGAGCAACGCCGCGUGAGUGAAGAAGGUCUUCGGAUCGUAAAACUCUGUUAUUAGGGAAGAACAAAUGUGUAAGUAACUAUGCACGUCUUGACGGUACCUAAUCAGAAAGCCACGGCUAACUACGUG